CCCUUAGAUGUUCGGGGCCGCACGCGCGCUACACUGAAUGAAUCAGCGAGUGUAUGUCCUAGGCCGAAAGGUCCGGGUAACCCGUUGAACCUCAUUCGUGAUUGGGAUAGGGACUUGCAAUUGUUUCCCUUGAACGAGGAAUUCCCAGUAAGCGCAAGUCAUCAGCUUGCGUUGAUUACGUCCCUGCCCUUUGUACACACCGCCCGUCGCACCUACCGAUUGAAUGGUUCGGUGAAGAUCUCGGACUUCGAUAUUCAUUCUUUAUUGAGUUUAUAUUGUGGGAAGUUAUCUAAACCUCAUCAUUUAGAGGAAGGUGAAGUCGUAACA
rnacentral:rRNA from 1 species